AACGAACGCUGGCGGCAUGCCUAACACAUGCAAGUCGAACGAGACCUUCGGGUCUAGUGGCGCACGGGUGCGUAACGCGUGGGAACCUGCCCUUAGGUUCGGAAUAACUCCCCGAAAGGGGUGCUAAUACCGGAUAAUGUCUUCGGACCAAAGAUUUAUCGCCUUUGGAUGGGCCCGCGUUGGAUUAGCUAGUUGGUAGGGUAAAAGCCUACCAAGGCGACGAUCCAUAGCUGGUCUGAGAGGAUGAUCAGCCACACUGGGACUGAGACACGGCCCAGACUCCUACGGGAAGCAGCAGUGGGGAAUAUUGGACAAUGGGCGAAAGCCUGAUCCAGCAAUGCCGCGUGAGUGAUGAAGGCCUUAGGGUUGUAAAACUCUUUUACCCGGGAAGAUAAUGACAGUACCGGGAGAAUAAGCUCCGGCUAACUCCGUG
rnacentral:rRNA from 1 species